rnacentral:rRNA from 1 species
GAUGAACGCUGGCGGCGUGCCUAAUACAUGCAAGUCGAACGCAUCCCGUUAAAUGAAGUGCUUGCACGGGAUUUUUAACAUUGGAUGAGUGGCGAACUGGUGAGUAACACGUGGGUAACCUGCCCAGAAGCAGGGGAUAACACUUGGAAACAGGUGCUAAUACCGUAUAACAACAAAAACCGCAUGGUUUUUGUUUUGAAAGGUGGUUUCGGCUAUCACUUCUGGAUGGACCCGCGGCGUA